AGCAGUCGCCGCGGUAAUACGGAGGGUGCGAGCGUUAAUCGGAAUUACUGGGCGUAAAGCGUACGCAGGCGGUUUGUUAAGUCAGAUGUGAAAUCCCCGAGCUCAACUCGGGAACUGCAUUUGAAACUGGCAGGCUAGAGUCUCGUAGAGGGGGGUAGAAUUCCAGGUGUAGCGGUGAAAUGCGUAGAGAUCUGGAGGAAUACCGGUGGCGAAGGCGGCCCCCUGGACGAAGACUGACGCUCAGGUACGAAAGCGUGGGGAGCAAACAGGAUUAGAUACCCGUGUAGUCCCUGUCUCUUAUAC
rnacentral:rRNA from 1 species